UCAAUCUUAGAGAAUGUUCCAUGUGCACUUGAGAAGAAUGUUUAUUCUGUUGCUUUUGGAUGGAAUGUCGUAUAAAUAUCUGUUAAGUCCAUCUGGUUUAAUGCCUCAUUCGGGGCCUGUGUUUCCUUAUUGAUUUUCUCUCUGGAUGAUCUGUCCAUUGGUCAGUUUGAUUAAUAUGGGUCUCAGUGUAUUCCUCCUUUGUUUAUUUUAUAUGGUUCUCAUUGUGCUUCCUGGAUUUGAGUGAGUGGUUCCUUUCCCAUGUUAGGGAAGUUUUUGGCUAUUAUCUCUUGGAAUAUUUUUCUGUCCCUUUCUCUCUCUCUUCUCCUUCUGGCACCCCUAUAAUACAGAUGUUGGUGUGUUUAACAUUGUCCCAAAGUUCUCUGAGACUCCCUUCAUUUGUUCUCAAUCUUUUUUCUCUUUUCUGUUCCACAUCUGUGAUUUCCACUAAUCUGCCUGCCACCUCACUUAUUUGUUCUUCUGCCUCCUGUAUUCUGCUGUUGGCUGCUUCUAAUGAAUUAUUUAUUUCAGUUAUUGUAUUUUGCAUCUCCUCUUGCUUAAGUUUUAUAUCUUGUAUCUCUUUGCUCAGUGUUUCCUGUAAAUUAUCCAUCUUUGCCUCCAAUUUAUUUCCAAUGUCUUGCGUCAUCUUCAGCAUCAACAGUCUUAACUCUUUCUCCUGGUGGCUGAGAAUCUCCUGAUCACUUAGCUGUUUUUCUGGGGUUUUUUCUUUCUCCCUUAUCUGAGUUACAGUUCUCUGUCUUUUCCUUUUUAUAGGUUUUUGGUGUGGUGACUUUUUUACAAAUGGUAGAGUUGUAACCUCUUUUACUUCUGGUGUCUGCCCCCCUUUUGGCUGAAGUUGGUAUGGGGGCUUGUUGUAGCUUCCUGAUAGGGGGUACUGAUGCCUGCCCACUGGUAGGUGGAGCUGAUUCCUAUCCCUCUUGUGGGUGGGGCUUUUUCUUGGGGUGAGGUUGGAGGUGGCUGUGUGCCUGGGGGAUCUUUAGGCAGCCUGUUUACUGAUGGGAGGGGCUGUGAUCCCACCUGGAUUGUUGUUUGGCCUGGGGCUUCUCAGAGCUGAUGAGUGGGGCCAUAUUUUCUCAAAAUGGCCAUCUCCAGAGGAAUGCAUGCUGAUGAAUAUUCCCAAGAGCUUUGCUUCCAAUGACCUUCCCCCACAACAAGCCACAAUCCCCCCUGUUUUCCCAGGAAGUCCUCCAAGUACUGCAGUCAGGUCUGACCCAGAUUCCAAUAGAGGCUUUGCUUUGCCCUGGGACCCAGUACACAUGAAAGUCUGUGUGCACCUUUUAAGAAUGGGGUCUUCAUUUCUCCCAGUCCCAUGGAGUUCCUGUGCACAAGCCCCACUGGCCUUCAAUGCCGAAUUCCCUGGGGGCUCUUUCUCCUAGUGCCAGAUCCCCACAUGUGGGGGUUUGACGUGGGGCUCAGAACUCUCACUCCUGUAGGUGAGUCUCUGUAAACCAGUUAGUUUCCAGUAUGUGGGGCUUUCCACCCAGGAGGUAUGGGGUUGCUUAUAUCAUGUAAUCGCCCCUCCUACCUCUUGAUGUGGCCUCCUCUUUGUCUUCUGGAAUGGGAUAUCUUUUUGAAAUUUUCCAGUCCAUUUGGUUGAAGAUUGCUCAGCAUUUGGUUGCAAAUUUUGUUGUUUUUAGGAGAGAAGUUGAGCUCCAGUUCUACUAUUCUGCCAUCUUUUUUUUGGUCUUUUUGCCAUUUCUUGGGCUGCUCCCGCGGCAUAUGGGGGUUCCCAGGCUAGGGGUCUAAUCGGAGCUGUAGUUGCCAGCCUACGCCAGAGCCACAGCAACGCAGGAUCUGAGCCAUGUCUGCGACCUACACCACAGCUCACGGCAACGCCAGAUCCUUAAUCCACUGAGCAAGGGCAGGGAUCGAACCUGCAACCUCAUGGUUCCUAGUUGGAUUCGUUAACCACUGCACCACGAUGGGAACUCCAGCUCUGAUUUUUAACUUAAGCAUGAGCCCAUGUCUUUUUGUGGUCAUCAUUGUUCCCAGAUUUUCUCCACCAAAUAUAUUAUAAUUAGUAUAUUUAUACAGUAAUCUUUUCCUUAAUUAGGGCUAUUUUCAUACCAUAGUCAUUCAAAAUGAUUUUUAUGCUUUUUUUUUUUUUGUCUUUUUUUGUCUUUUUAGGACUGCACCCACAGCAUAUGGAAGUUCCCAUGGUAGGGGUCCAACCAGAGCUGUAGCCGCCAGCCUACACCAUAGCCACAGCAAUGUGGGAUCCAAGCCAUGCCUGCAACCUACACCACAGCUCACCAUAAUGCUAAAUCCUUAACCCACUGAGAGAGGCCAGGGAUUGAAUCUGUGUCCUCAUGGAUACUAUUCAGGUUUGUUACUGCUAAGCCACAAUGGGAACUCCCCUUUUCUACUUUUCUUGGACAGUGUCUAAUUGCUUUUCAAACAACUACUACUUGGAUUUAUUGAUUUUUCUAUUUAUCCCCCUUCUUCCCUCUCACUUGAAAACAAACUCACGUUUGUAUAAAGAAUGUCUUAGUCCAUUGAGGCUGCUACAACAAUAUACCAUAGUCUGUAAAGCUUUAUAAACAAUGGAAAUUUAUUCUCAAAAUCUGAAGCCUGGAAGUCUAAAAUCAAGACUGGGAAUUUGGGGUUAAUAGAUGUGAACUAUUGCCUUUGGAAUGGAUAAUCAAUGAGAUCCUGCUGUAUAGCACUGGGAACUAUAUCCAAUUACUUAUGACGGAGCAUGAUGGAGGAUAAUGUGAGAAAAAGAAUGUAUAUAUGUAUGUGUGACUAGGUCAGCUUGCUGUACAGUAGAAAAUUAACUGAACACUGUAAACCAG
rnacentral:lncRNA from 1 species